GUUAGAGGUAGUUACUAUUUAUAUAAAAUAAUAUAAUUUGUUUCAAAAUAAUCUUAGGGUAUGGGUAGUAGAGGAAGCAGCUGGGGUACAAAAUGAAAAAGAUCGGCCAUGAAUUGAUGGCUGCAUGGGAUUUCCAAUACUCUUCUCUUUAUUUCUACAUACUAUAAUUUAAAUGUUCUUGUCUAUAAAGAUAAGUUUUAAAGAACAGUUUUAAAAUCAGUUUUAAAAGUCACUCGAGUUGCCCUAGCAACUACUUUCCAAGUCCUCGCUGUUCUCUGACUACUACUGACCUUUGGCUUCUCUUCUCCAUCUAGUCUCUGCCACCUUAGAACAUCCACUCUUUAGCACUGGUUACCUACAUCAUUUUGCCUCUUUGAUCACAAGAACCUCUCAGCAAGCCUAUCUAGAGAUUUUAAAGAGUUUCCCCAAACUCCAGUAAAGAGAUGGAUCAGCUCUAUGGAACAGAAAACUGCCCACCUCAGCAUCUACCACACACAUCAAGAGAAUAACGUGUCCAUCCAUGGGCCACCAGGUUCAGCCUCAUCACCCAGAACCUUAGCUGGAAUCCACCUGCCCCAGUCUAGAAAUGCUUAAUGAAUUGAUCCUUGCAAGUAACCUAAUUUGAUCAUCCCAUGCUUACUCCAGAAGGGAGGCUCAGCCUAGAACGAGAGGAUAUGCUUUUCAUUUUCUCCCACCCCUGGCACCUCCUAUCAUCAACCUGGCAGGAUUUUCCAUGGCUCAGACUAACCUCAGGCUCAUACUUCAGCAGGCUGAAUCUUCUUAAAAAGCCAUCACAGAUCUGUUCUCAGGAAGCUCUUUGUGUCAGGAACAUGCAGUUUCCUCACUAUGGCCCCAAAUACUCUGGCUACAACCAGAAAGCACAGCUUCCAGACAGAGGAAGGACAAAGAGUGAAGUGUCUACCUUUAAAGACACUUCCCAGAAGUGACAUAGCAUGGACAUCCCAUGUGCCUGAAUUAGUCACGUGGUCACACCUGACGACAAGAAGAGCUGAAAAAUGUGUUCCCUAUUCUGGGUAGACAUGAACCCAGCCAGAGGUUACCAUGGAGGAAAAACCAGAUGCCAGGGACUGCUGAUUGUCUCCACUGCACUAAGAUAAGCAGGAACCAUUAACGGAAUAUCCAUGUAAUUCCUCAGUUCCACCUGGCUGUACUGAAGCUGGGAGUAUGAAUGCAUGGAGCCCCCACCCCUUGCCACCGUGGGCUCCGCUUGGCCUUUGGCUGUUGAUUCACAGCUUCUUCUCUAACCAGCCAGCUCUACUCGCAGCCUUUUAAAAAUGCUUUCUCGGCCAGGCGUGGUGGCUCAUGCCUGUAAUCCCAUCACUUUGGGAGACCGAGGUGGGCAGAUCAUGAGGUCAGGGGUUCAAGACCAGUCUGACCAACAUGGUGAAACCCUGUCUCUACUAAAAAUACAAAAAUUAACCGGGCAUGUUAGUACACACCUGUAAUCCCAGCUAAUCAAAAGGUUGAGGCAGGAGAAUUGCUUGAAUCCGGGAGGCGGAGGUUGCAGAGAGCCGAGAUCGCGCCAUUGCACUACAGCCUGGGCGACAGAGCAAGACUCCGUCUCUAAAUAAAUAAAUAAAAUAAAAUGCUUUUUCUCCUUUUUUAUACAGUUAAUGAAAGUUCACUUUGAAAAUGUAGCUAAGCCGGGCGCGGUGGCUCAAGCCUGUAAUCCCAGCACUUUGGGAGGCCGAGGCGGGUGGAUCACGAGGUCAACAGAUCGAGACCAUCCUGGUCAACAUGGUGAAACCCCGUCUCUACUAAAAUUACAAAAAAUUAGCUGGGCAAGGUGGUGCGUGCCUGUAAUCCCAGCUACUCAGGAGGCUGAGGCAGGAGAAUUGCCUGAACCCAGGAGAUGGAGAUUGCGGUGAGCCGAGAUCGUGCCAUUGCACUGCAGCCUGGGUAGCAAGAGCGAAACUCCGUCUCAAAAAAAAAAAAAAAAAAAAGAAAAUGUAGCUAAAACCAAAGAAAAAAUUAAGCGUCACCCAUGUUCACACUACGUUUAGAUCAUUGUGGAAAAGUUUCAGCCAGUAUCUGUCCUAAGACCUAUCAUGUGUUGAGUGGCUACAAGUGCUUUACCUGUACCCCCUGAUUUAAUCCUUACACUAACCCGGUCAGGAGGGCUACUGAAGUAUAGAGAAAGGAACCUUGUCUGUACUUCCCCAACAAUGCUAACAAUGGCUAGGCCGGAAGUUGAAGCCAGAAAAGGACACCGAAGUUCUCGCUCCUAAGCUCUUUACUGUAUUUUUACAUAUCUACAUUUAUGUGUCUAUUACGUAUGCACAUACACAUACACACUCCUUUCGCAAAAUGGUGUUUCCUUUCCUUUAAACAUAACAAUACAUCAUGAACAUCUUUCCACGUCUUUAUAUUUUCUUUUCUUUUUAUUUUUAGAGAUGGUG
ensembl:lncRNA